AUUUCUUGGUGAUGAAAAUCUUCAUUUUAAGGACUUUGUUUUUGAGGAGCCAUGUGAAGCUCAGACUCUCACAAGUCAAGAAGGUCUUCAGACUCCCAAUGUGAGUAGUCAGCGCUUGUCUGUUGGGAUGACACCCAAAAUUCUUAGGCUGC